CCCGCUGAAUUUAAGCAUAUUAAUAAGCGGAGGAAAAGAAACUAACAAGGAUUCCCCUAGUAAUGGCGAAUGAAGCGGGAACAGCUCAAAUUUGAAAUCUCCGUUGCUUGCAACGGCGAAUUGUAGUUUCGAGAAGCACUUUCUCGGCGGAUCCGAGGUCGUCCAAGUUGCUUGGAACAGCACGUCGUAGAGGGUGACAACCCCGUCUGCGGCGACCUCGGCCGUUCACGAUGUGCUUUCGACGAGUCGGGUUGUUUGGGAAUGCAGCCCAAAAUGGGUGGUAAACUCCAUCUAAAGCUAAAUAUUGGCACGAGACCGAUAGCGAACAAGUACCUUGAAUGAAAGAUGAAAAGCACUUUGAAAAGAUAGUUAAAAAGUACGUGAAACCGUUAAAAGGGAAACGAAUGGGGUUAGCAAUGCGUCGUGCGAGAUUCAGCCGGUGGGUGGGCCAGGCGGGCGGUUGGCGGAUCUGAAUGGACCGCUGCCGUUCGGGUUGGUUUCCCGACCGUCGCACUUCUCGCAGGCGCGCGCCAACGUCGGUUAGGGCUGGGUUUCAAAGGCGGUGGAAAGGUAGGUUUGGACUCUCGGGCCCGAACUGUUGCAGUCCUCCGUUUGUCAUGGCCCGGACCUGACCGAGGAGCUUGCGGUGCAUGCCGUUCGGCUAGGGUCCCGUCUUCCCGGUCGGUCGUCGAAUGCGGUGGACUGCGUGCAGUGCGCCGCGACUGCUGCCGGUCGCGAGGGCGGUGAUUUCGUACUAUGCACCCACGACGUUGGCGAUCAUAUGGCCUCAUCCGACCCGUCUUGAAACACGG
rnacentral:rRNA from 1 species